GAUGAACGCUAGCUACAGGCUUAACACAUGCAAGUCGAGGGGAAACGACAUCGAAAGCUUGCUUUUGAUGGGUGUCGACCGGCGCACGGGUGAGUAACGCGUAUCCAACCUGCCCACCACUUGGGGAUAACCUUGCGAAAGUAAGACUAAUACCCAAUGACGUCUCUAGAAGACAUCUGAAAGAGAUUAAAGAUUUAUCGGUGAUGGAUGGGGAUGCGUCUGAUUAGCUUGUUGGUGGGGUAACGGCCCACCAAGGCAACGAUCAGUAGGGGUUCUGAGAGGAAGGUCCCCCACAUUGGAACUGAGACACGGUCCAAACUCCUACGGGAGGCAGCAGUGAGGAAUAUUGGUCAAUGGGCGAGAGCCUGAACCAGCCAAGUAGCGUGCAGGAUGACGGCCCUAUGGGUUGUAAACUGCUUUUAUAAGGGAAUAAAGUUAGUCUCGUGAGACUUUUUGCAUGUACCUUAUGAAUAAGGACCGGCUAAUUCCGUG
rnacentral:rRNA from 1 species